UUUUCCCACAUAGUUUAUAACUUCCCGAAUGUUUUUUAUUUGUAGAUUUCAACUUCUUAGUUGGUCUCUAUUCGAAGAACUAUGUUUAAGUAUGCUUUUUGAAGCAAUUCACUCUAACCAAGCCACACACACAGACCUCACUCCCUCUUCCCUCAAAUAAGACUAGAGGGGGAUCUGAUAAAUUAGGUGACAGAAAGGUUCCUAUCAAUGUCCAUAAUUACUUGCAACCAUGGAUAUUGUUAUCCUGUUUUGUCUUUAUUUUUAACUCGAGCAAUUCACUCCGCUUUAUUUUAAUUACAGUGGUCUAGUUACCCUCAAAUACUCUAAAGAACUCUGUGGACUCGUUCUGUGGCCGUUGGUUGUCAACCCAUCUGUUAAAUAUGUCAACAUGAGAGCUUUAGCUAUGAAACUAAUUCUUUGCGAAAGCAAGUGCCUCAUACGUCAAACUUGUUGGGUUAAUUUUUCUAGGCUGUUUUGGAGUCACCUGCCUUUGUAGUGUAGUUCAAUUGUCCAUUUUGGGAUAUUUGGAAAAUUAAACAAAAUAAAUUCGCCAUGGCUCUUAUCUUAACCAUUUUAACAUUGUCCCCUUGGAUACUAGUAUUUAUGGUUGUCAGAAGUCAAUUCUUCUUUGAAGAUGAUCCACAAACCUACUUGAAAACUAUAUUACCUUGAUGCAAUAGACUAACACACUACUGCUAGGUGGUAUUUUCCGAUAGCAUCAUUAUCCAUCAUUUUAAUUGAUCUUGUUAUUGGGCCUUUUGCAUUUGCAUAACCAAUUCCUCAUGUUAAAUAGUUUAUCCAGUAUGCUUGAAUCUUUAUUCACUAAUUCAGUUCUCUCGGGAUUUUUUCUACAUUAGCAGAACAACUACUCUGCACCUCAUGUUCCGCAAAAUGUUAAUGCAUGUCCAACACUAUUUGUGGCAAAUUUGGGGCCAACUUGUUCAGAGCAAGAGCUAAUUCAAGUAUUUUCAAGUUGCCAUGGAUUUAUAAAAUUGAAGAUGCAGAGCACAUAUGGAACUCCGGUGGCAUUUGUUGAUUUUCAGAUACUUUGUUACUGUCAUUGAAAAGCUAAAACAGGAACUCAUGAUGGGUCCAUGUUUGUAUGUCUUUCAUUAGUUAAUAUAAUUUUUGUUGUGGUACAGAAGUUGUAGGUGUACAAUUAAUUUGGUUAGUCAUGUAUUAUGUAUGGAAUUAAAAUAUUGACGUUGGAUUAGACUUGGUUCUUAUGGAAUUUGUAAUAUAUAUAUAUAUAUAUAAUUGGACGUUCAAUAUUAAUUAUUUGGAUGGUUG